GUGAACGUUUCGAAGACCAAGAAGACCUACUACAAGAACAAGGAGUGCAAGAAGCACACCCUCCACAAGGUUACCUACUACAAGAAAGGUAAGGAUAGCCUUUCUGCUUAGGGGAAGCGUCGUUAUGACCGCAAGCAGUCUGGAUAUGGAGGCCAGACAAAGCCUGUUUUCCACAAGAAGGUAUGUUACUCAUUUCUGUGGGCAUAUAUCUUAUUUAAUGUACAACUCAACUUACUGUGGAAAUGUUGGCCGUUCCUCUUCUGUUGCUUCUUUGCAUCUGGAUGUUUAUUCUUCUGUUUCUUUCAGGCCACAUCUGGACUUAUUUGA
rnacentral:rRNA from 1 species